UCGUCCAUGGUGGCCUGUCGUGGGUGUUGGUGGGCGGCUGGAGGCGGCUGUAGCAGGUCGAUUUAUCUGACUACUGAAAAUGAGCUUCAGAAUAUCUGUAGAACAUAGCCCACUUCCAGCCAAAUAUCAAUUAUGAUAAAUCCACCAUGUACCAUGAUCAUUUGAAUAGUCUUGCUUAAGUUUAUGUUAGCCCUGUAUGCUAAUUUGAGGAGAUUGUUAACUUUAAGGUGCGAACUUUAUAAAAUGAUAAUUGUACCAUUUUUUGGGAUUUUGUGAUUCCUAUGGAAUUAAGAGAUCAUCUAUUAGCCUAUCCCUAUUUGUAACUAGGAGAACGCCCGUGCGUUGCUACGGGCUAUAAUGCAUACAAAUGAAAUAAAUAAGUGAUUAAGAUCAUCUUCAAGGUGGAAGCUCAUUUCUUCAUCAUACGUUUGGGUGUUUGAAAUUUGAACAUAGAACUGGCGCAUCACAGAAUGUGACGUAUACCCAAGAAAAAAAACUAAAACAAUGAUCUGGGUUAACUAAAAUGUCCUCCUUCCAUAAAUUUACUUCAUUCCAUUUUUAUUUUUAAAAUCAACCGCUCCUUUAUUAAUUGGCUACAAUUGUAGCAUCAAAGACAAUAAGAGGAAUAAUAGCCAUCGGGGCUGGCUACUUUAUUGUUCCAUCUAUAUCAAUGUUCAAAAAUAAUAUGACUGAAAUCUAAAGACAUGAAAUAACAAUCAUCGAAGAUCGUGCUGGCCACCGAAGAUGAGUAUUCCUCUUUGAGUGCUGAAAUCACCUCCAAGCUAUCUGAAUUUACUUCAAUUUUGCUGCACCCAGCUGUGCGGGAGAGGUUAAGGCCAAACAUAACUGCAAUUGCUUCUGCUAUGAAAGCAUCAUAGCAGAUUUCAAGUUUUUCAUUUGCUGCAGCUAUAAACUUACCAUUGUGGUCUCUGAUGACAACACCUAUAGAGCCUUCAAUUUACUUCGUUCCAUUAUGCCAUGCACAUUGCUACGAUUACUUGCGCUAUACAAAUUUAAAUGUAGCAUAUGCUUGGUCCGGAACGGUAAUCAUGGUUACUCGCUUGAACCACGUCCCUCCAUGGGCACCUCACACACUGCUUAUCCCCACAAACCAUGGCCAUAUGACAACAAAUCAUAUUGUCGGUCCAAGGAGAAACCCCAUGGCGGCAUGCCCCCGCAAGUAGCACAUUUCAGAGAUCUCUUCGAUGUCUAUGGAGAUGAGGGAGAAUCUGGAUAUGUACCUCCAUCGCCGGUGUCUCUCUGCCCUCCCUAUGUCACCAUUCAUUACCUAGGUUAGCAAGCGCCUAGAUUAGACGAUGGUGAGUCACAUCUUAGUCCUGCCUACUUCCUUAGAGCUUUCAUCUCCACCUUGUUUCCGGUCGUUCACUUAUACAACCCCCUAGCUUGAAGGAAGCCUUCGGGAAUUUGAAUGUUCUUGCUCAUUUUGAGUAGUACUUUGGUCAUCAAUGUCAGGACCCCGACUCGAUGUCACAUCGAUCUAGCCAGUAACACUUCAUAUCACUUUGCGGCCUCACGCACGGUGUUCCCACGGGUGUCGCCUUACCUUUGCCCGGGACCGUUUGCGCCUUUUGGCUCACGUAUAUGAUAGUGUCGCUAGCAUCCAUAUGAUAAAGAGCCCGGGCUGACAUGACUAGUCGUAAACCCAAAGUGGCACAGACUUACAGGGACAGGCAUCCAUGACCCAGCUUCGAACGUGUCGGUCAUCAGCAAGUGGGUCCGGGCUGUAGCACUGGGCUAGCAGGACUCCGUUAAACCGGGCUGUAGCGGGCUAACAGGACUCCGGUACUCAAAGCGUGACAUUUCCCCGAAGGGACAGACACAGGAACGAAGAAGGACACAUGCCGGCCAGCCUAAGUGUUCCAGAGCAGUAGCAAGCUACCAUGGCUCAGCGGUAACACUAGGAGACAUUUCCCGGUAAGAGAGGCUACUAAAGAUAAACAACUAGAUAGUCAGAUCCCACACAUACCAAGCAUUUCAAUCACACACACAGUAUGCUCGAUAUGUGCAAAUACAACGAAGCAUCACAACAUGACUCUACGACACAAGUACUUUAUUCAUUAGGCUCCGAGGAGCGAGAUAUUACAAACAUGGGUCUCAUGACCCAACACGCAGAGCAUACAAGUCAAAGCACAAGCGGAAGCUAUCAUGUCUGAGUACAGACAUCUAUAAAUGAAAAAGGCUGAGAAGCCUGACUAUCUAUCAGAUCCUGCCGGGGCACAAGAUCGUAGCUGAGGUAUCAAGCUAAACGUCGAAGUCCACGUGAAACUACUAGCGAGACCGAAGUCUCUCUGCAAAAACAUAAAAUAGGCAAACGUGAGUACAAAUGUACCCAGCAAGACUUACAUCAGGACUAUCUACAUAUGCAUCAUUAUCAACAAAGGGGUGGUGGGGUUAACUGCAGCAAGCCAGCUCUGACUCGGUGGCUAUCCUAAACUACGACUGCAAUGUAACUCUUUGAGGUGGCGCACACGAGUCCACAUAUUCACCAACCAAUACUCCACUAUGGAUCCGCUCCCGUCUCCCUACGAGAACGCCAUCCAUAGCACUCACGCUUAUCUUGCGUAUUUUAGAGUAUCCACUUUCACUUGUCUAUGAACUGAUAUAAGCAACCCAGAAGUCCUUUUCCGCGGACACGGCUAUUCGAAUAGAUCAUAUUAACCCUGCAGGGGUGUACUUCUUCACACACGCUCUCACCACUUACCGCCGUUUACACGACAUGUACUCGGCAACCUUCAAGCGGAAGCCCAACGUGGGUGUCGGCCACGGCCUGCCUAAACACUCAAGUCUCUAGUCCAGGUUUAUCGCCUAUUCGGGUUCCAUCCAUGAGGAGAUCCGGCCGGAGUUUCGCUCACAGCCCCAAACGAUGUGUACAGGGUUCCGUGACACCAAACGGGCGCCCGGUUUACCCGGCCACGUGCCUACCGCAUCACAGCCCACCCCUACGGUCAGCGCUGCGCACGGCCUCCAGCAUACUACAAACACCAGAAACUACUUGCAACUCCUGGACAGAGGACAAGGGUGGUCAAGAAGCCGAGAGGGUCCAUUGGUUUCGGGCCCAAUGCGUGGUAGUAGCUGAAUCAUGGAUCACAAACACAGAACUCAGUUCCUGAGGACGGCUGCAAUGAGACAACCCACCAUGUACUCCUACAUGGCCUCUCACCGCUACCUUUACCAAAUCGUGUUCACACACUUAGCUCACACACAGUAGGACAUGUUCACACGCCUCUGAUUCAUCCCCGAUGAAUCAGACCUGACUCAACUCUAAGCAGUAGCAGGCAUGACAAACAAGCAUGAAUGAGUAGGCACAACAGGGCUCAAACAACUCCUACUCAUGCUAGUGGGUUUCAUCUAAUUACUGUGGAAUGACAGGUCAUGCAGAGGAUAAAGGGGUUCAGCUACCGCAGCAAGUAACAGUUGAAUCGUUGUUGUCCUAAUGCAGAAAAAGAGAGCAGGAGCGAGAGAGUAGGAUUGUGUCGGAAUGAACAAGGGGGUUUUGCUUGCCUGGCACUUCUGAAGAUAGCAUUGAGUCUUCAUCAGUGUCAACGAUCACAUCAUCGGUAUCACGUCUAUCGAGAGGGGACAAAUACCGGCAACACAGAAAGGAACACAAUCAAUGCAAUGCACAAUAUGAUGCAUGAUCAUGACAUGGCAAAAUGAAUGUGUUUUGGGCUAAUGCAACUAGCAACAGAUUAAAUGAAGUUGGUUUGAAUAUAAAAUUCAAAUUCAAACUCCAUAUGGGAUUAUAUAAAUGCCCUUUAAUUGAUUUGUGCUAAACAGCACCUAUAAGUUGCUCUAACAUGCAUGAAAAUGGUACAGAUGGAUUCCUUGAAUUUUUCUGAUAAUUUUUCAUAUAUAAUUUAUUUAAUUUGGAGUUACGGUUAAUUUUCUAUGAAUUAUUGAAGUUUUUACAAUUUUCUGGAAUUUUCUGAUUAUUUAGAAUUAAAAUAAUUCCAGAAAAUGAAUUAUGGCGUCAGCAUGUCAUCACCUUGACGUCAGCAGGUCAACAGGGCGCCCCAGGUCAAACCUGACGUGUGGGGGCCACACGUCAGUGACUAACUAAUCUAACCUAGUUAAUUAGCACUAACCUAGGUUAAGUUAAAUUAGUUUAAAUCUAAACUGGAUUAGUUAGCCGGGCGGGGCCCGCAUGUCAGUGGGGAGAGGGGGAGGUCAAACCGGGCAGUGGGUCAACCCACGCCGGUCAGCGGGUCAGCGGGCGCCGGCGUUUAGCCGCCGGCGAGCCCGACGCGGCGGCGCAAGUGCAAUUCGCUGUUCCGGCCACCAAAAGGGUCGGGGAGGGUACCUACGGGGAGCUGGGGAUGGGCUGAGGCUCUUGGUGGAGGAACUUGAGCUCGGGGCGGUCGGAAUCGACGCCGGCGGCGAGCUAUGCGGCGGCCGGAGCUCGGGCACGCUCGGACACGGCGUUUUGGGCACGGGAGGAGGAGUGGGUAGGUGUUCUGGGUUCCCGGGAACGCGACGAGGACGACAGCAUGCUCAGACGCGACGUGCGGGGCCUCUAGCCGCGGCGACCUCGUGGCCGGCGGCGACGAGCUCUCGGGCUCGGCGGAGCCCGUAGUUAGAGGAAAGAAUCGGCAUCAGGGAGAGGGGGGUUCGGUGCGGGGGCUCACAGCGAUGGCGAUGGGAUGCUUGGCGAGGUCGGGGACGGCCCAGAGUCGACGAAUUCGUCGACGGCGACCGGCGGGUCCGAAGAGGGGAAGAACGGCGGGGCGGCGCCUCGGGGCUUCUCCGGUCGCGUGAGAUGGCGGGGAGGGUGAGGAUGGAGUGGCGGAGCUGGUGGGCUAGUUGGGGGAGCGAGGGAGGCCCUGUGGCCGCAGUGGUGGCGAGCGGCGGCGACGGCGACUCUCGGGUGGCUCGGGGAAGAGAGUCAGGGGAGGGAGAGAGGGUGCAGCGAGUGAGAAAGAGGAGCGAGGGGACACGGGGCGUCGUCGUGGCGUCGCUAGGAGGCCGGGGGGGAAGCAGGAGGUGGCGUGCGGUGGCCGUGCGCGCGUCGGCGCUCGCCACCGAGCUGCUUCGGUGCGAGGGGAGGAAGAUGACAAGGGGGAGGAGGUGGGCUGGGCCGGCCAGGGGGAAGGAGCUGGGCCGGACAGGGGAAAGGAGCUGGGCCGGACGGGGCGCUAGGUGAGCUGGGCUUCUCUCUUUCUCUCUCUUUUUUAUUUACUGUUCUGUUUGUUUUAUUUAACGUCUUUUGCCACUGUUUUCAAUUCCAAAAUAAUUUCAAACAGUGCCAAAACAUUCUGAAAUAUUUUAUGUUACCUCUCUGGACUAUUCCCAAAAGUACAUAAAACAUUUCAAAGCAUUUGAAAAUAUAUUCAUUAUAUAUUAUGAAUAUAUCCCCAAAUUCAAAUAGAUUAUUGAUUUAAAUUCAGAGACCAAAUAAUUCCUUAAAAAUAUUCCAGAAUUUUGGUUUGAUAUAUAACUCUUGCCAAAAUUCACAAAACUAUUUUUAGGGCAUUUUGGAUUCACAGAAUGCAAUUUAAAGGGUGCUUGCCCUUCUUUUAAUUUGGGUUUUGAGGCUUCUGAAUAUCCUCAGUUCAAAUUUCAUUUGAAUUUAAACAUGAUGCAGACAUGAAGCUAGGCUAGAGCAAUGCCAGAAGCUAGGGAUGUGACAAUCAAGUCCAUGAAUAUAACUUAAUUUUAUUUUUUAAAGCUUAGCACUCAAUUUAGAUACUCCGAAUAGUACAUAUUUUUCGUAAGUAGACUAAUUCAGGUACAAACUUCUUUUAGGGGAGCACAAACUUAAUCUGAGCACAUCACUUAAUAGCAAAAUGGUUUACUUUUUGUUUCAAGCAGAAGAAAAAUACUGUGUGCAAGUUAAUGUGAUCAAGGCAUUGGUAUUGGUCACCACUAUAGUACACCUAACAGGAUACAACCAAGAAAUCAAAUACACUCGUUUAGCCAAUUGCUUAUACACAAGAAUCUCUAGUAGGUCACUUGUUUGUAUCACUUGAUGUCAACUAAUCUCUUUUAAGUGCAAGUCUCUCCACAAAAAUAGAGAUUUUAGCAGACAAUCUUUCAAAAGGAAUAGAAUAUCAUAUGCAAAUGCAUGUCAUGUGAGAGGACAAAAAAACUUAUGGAGCAUGUUGCUUGAGCAUCUUUCAUAGAGGGGAGUUCCCUCAAAAGAAUUGAACCUGCUGUUGUGAAGUCCUAAUGUUCAUACUCAUACAAGAAACAAUCAUAAUGGUUGUGUGCUAGAAGAUACAGAGUAUAGUUAUAGAAGAUCAGUCCUUAAAAUGCAUAUUCAAACCACAGGUUUCGCAAAAAGAGAACUCUAGGAGCCCAGGAGCUUGAGAAAUAAAAGAGGCAUUCAUCGUAACAAAACACACUUAUUUAAAUGAUUCGAGCUGUAUUCUGGGUCUGAUUGUGUGCUGCUGCUCCUAUUUAAAUGGUUUGAGCAAGUAUAACGUCUCUAGGUGCUCGCCAACCAUGGCCAAGCCAUCGCAAGCAAUGCCGCUCCAACUACCAAGGCAAUAGGACCAGACCUUCAAAAUGCACAACUCAUCAGCUCUUUAUCUCACCAAGUCACCAUGGAUAAAGCCUCUGACUCAAUGAUGUCGCUCCAACUAUUAAUGCAAUAGGACCAGACCUGCAAAACACACAACACUCAUCAGCAAUUUAACUCACCAAGGAUAAAGCCUCUGACUGAAUUAUAUAUAAACUGAAAUCACAUAAUGAUAACAACAGUCAGCAUAACCUUGAGUGCCAUUGAUCGCAUUUCAGAACACGCAAAAGCCUCAUUCAGUGAAAAAUCUAAAGAACAAAAAAACAACAACAUGACCUGCUUAAUAACCUAAAAGAUACUAUAUCAUUUUUGUCCAUCACGGGCCUUGAACUUAUGUAUUCCUUAGUUGAUCUACUCAUCGAUUUGUGUUUGCUGAGGUAUGUAUAAUUAUUUGAAAGAUCAUCCAUGCAUGAUGUAUGAGUUGGCCAUGACGGAAAGAAUAGUUAUAUCAGAGUUAAGAAAGACGAAUGAAUAAAUCAAGCUUGGGCUACGCCACUCAAAACAUAGUCUGUGUCAUAUUCAAUUAGGAUGACAUUAACAACCCAGAGUCUCCUCAUCUAGUAUCGGGAUGGAUAGCAGUUAAUGCAGAUAUUAACCCCGAUCUUGGAUGGUAAAUUAUAUUUUGGACUCCUUUCAACUAUGAAACCAAGGAAAAAACAUGGUUAAUAAAAUGUAGAAGAUUAAAUAGCUAAUACAGUUGUGUUAAAAUAUGAUACGGGAGUAACUGUUGGGUUGCAACCUAAAACAUUCCAUCAUCGAUAAACCCUGCACCCAGUAAAAUUUGAAACAUCGCUCAAGGAAGGAGAUAAUUGGUACACUUACUUAGAAAUUGAACAGAUGAAGAAAACUUGAUCACUUAAACAAUAAAUGAAGUAUGGUAGCUAUUAUUCUGAUACUGGGAAGCUACAAAAUAGAACAUUACAUCAGGAAAGAAUAUGAGUCAUUUUGAUCUAAGUGUGUUAAAUUAAUCGGUCAGCAAUCUGGUGUAACCAAUAAUUCUAAAAUGUCAUUUGGAAACAUGUCUCUACUGAAUCAACAUUGUAGCAUCUCAAAAGAUUGCUCAAUGAAUAAAAUUUCCAUGUAACAUAAUUGGUCGUACAAGAAGAUUUAGAUAGGCAUCAUGGUAUAAUAGUUUGGUGUCAAGACUGUAUACACAUUAGAAUUUUCUUCUCGGGCAUGGUCUGGCCAACUAACCACACCCCAACCAGAAGUUUAUCCAUAACUUUCUUUUGCACUACUUCCAACAUUUUAUUCCAAUUGUUAGUCAUCAAAGGGAAAUUGGAUACUGCACAUGACCAUAUGUGAUAAAACAUACUCCAUAGAGCACAUGAACUAUGAAAGGGAGUACUGCACUUGGCACCUUCCACAUGUUAGAGAUAGAACAUGACAAAUAAAAGAUCAUGCUUCUCAUCUUUAAUAGUUCCAAGGCGACUAAACUUACCCCUGUUUUCAACACCUUCCACAUAAUUCUAGCCACUUAAAUUAUCCUCCCUGUUGAGCGGCACUUGAAGGUCCUAAUCAUCUACAAAACUCCUCAACAACAUGAGUUACAUUAUCAUCUGAAGGAUCCCUGAGAAAAGCCUAGCCAAAACCAGUAAUUAUGAGUAUAUCACAAGAUUGCUCAACAAAGAAAAAAUAUAGACCGCAUAUCUAGUCUAGAAUCUAGAUAGGUGAGAACUCCUAGGCCAUAUUUUAGGAUGCACACAUAUCAUGCUUUUCAGCUCACCGGACACUGUCCCUAUCAAGUCGAGAUAGGCCAUACCAUAAUUUUUUUACGGCACCCAAAGCAAGAAUUAAUUUUUGCCUAUUUGUUAUAUGGCCUGCUCUCUUUUUUGUAACAAGUAGCUACAUGUCAGUCUGAAAUAAAAUUUCUCAAAUAUGUGCAUGAUACCUGAGCAGUUACUCCCAGUAAUAUCAAUUGAAAUUUUUGGCAUUAUACAACCAUAUCCUUGGAGCAGUCUAUGAUUCCGAUCGAAGGGAUCUGCCUGCCGGUGCACAUUUGAUGAAUGCAUGUUACAUUUUUACAGAAAGUAAGGCCUACAAACUAAACUGAAACGACAUGUUAAGCAUGUCCAUAUUGAAAUUUGAAACUGAUCCCUACAAUGACGAGGAACCGCAACACAGAAGGCUACCUGAAACAAUCAGCAGGUGUUUCAUUGAUCAUUUGCCAUGACAUCCUUCACACCUCAGGCGCGAUGGCCGGCCCUGGUGACUUCUCCUCAGCCGAUCCCUCCAAAGGUGUUGCCGACAAUGUUGUCCCUGCGGCGCCGCUCCUCCCUGAUGUUGUCGCCUGAUGACGUCCGAUAUCAAGACUUCUCUACAAUAAGGAGUUAGUGACCAAUAUUAUCAACAUAUUUUUAUCGUCUUGUCAAUAAGCUAGAUUAUUAGUGUUGAACAAUACCGAGUUUGCCGAAUCUUCUUACCAAUUCGGGUCACUAAACAAAUUCAAAAGAUAUGAUGUCCUUGUCUCAAAUGAUAUGACCAAAUUGCGAGUAAAAUCUGACCAGAAACAAAUAAAACGAAUUAUCUACAAAUAUAUUCAUAAGGUGGUAACCAGAAAGAAACUUUUUUCUGAGCUCAAACCCUCCAUACUCUUGAUGUUCUGAAUCACAAAUGUCUUUGACUUACCAGGAAACCUUCUGAAUAAUAAUUACCAAUAAAUCUAUGAGCCAUGGUUUUGAGAACAACAUAUGAAAAGAGUUUAAGUACGUAUGCCCCUGAAAAUGUAGUGUGGUUGGUAAUUAUUCUUAUAUUCCAACAUUAAAGAGUUAAGUGUUUUGAUAAAAUGUUGCUUGCUCAUCCUAAGCACAAACACUUUGUUAAAGACAUUUUGUUACUCAAGCAAAGUAAAUGCUUAUGUGUAGAACAAAACAGAAGAUGUAACAUGGAAAUUAUGUUUGGUUUUGGGAAGGGUGACAAACCUGCAUCUCUAUUGGACAAAAGAUUUUUCUUAGUUGGCCGGCCUCGUCUAGAACCUGAAAGAAAUAUAUUUAUAAGGGUCUAUUGUGCCGCAACCACAUAGUAGCAUAUAUAACAAAAAAUGGUACUGUAUUUACUUUAAUAGUACCAUGUAGUAUUCUGCAGGAAGAGUUUGAGGUAUGAUGCGAGAACUUCAUCUUUGCUUUGUGUUUUACGCUUCCGGCGGCGCUGUCGGCGAAGACAUAGCAGGCACAACCGUGUGAUCGAAGAUGUUGACAAGACAUGGGUGGGGCGGCGGCCAGCGGCGCUCUAGCGGGUUGCAGGGACUGGUCCAGAUGGUGGCGGUAGACCAGAGGCUAGAGGCGGCGAUGCGCCGCCGACGAGACGAGGGACGGGCUGGGGCUGGUUGUGUUGUAGGGUUGCCUCGUGAUGUCUGGGCUUGGUUAGCUAUCUCCAACCCAACAAAAAACAAUUCAUCAAUUGAAACAUACUUCUUUGUCCACCCGGAGGCCUGAGGGUCCAUUUUUCCCGUCGAUUCUGCAGAUAUCACCGGCCCACUGUUUUCCCAUCAAUAAAUUCCUGCAAUCUGUCUUUUUAUAAGGAAUUGUUUUCCUCCUGGUUCCACCCAACUUUACUGAUCGAAACCACAACAAACUCUACAAUCUAGCUUCCUCCACACCCUCGUGCAUCUCAUCAAGGUCCUCAAGUUCCUCACUCUCUGGAGACAGAAGGGCAACCGUCGAGGGAGGCGCAUGGCGGGGUUGUCAGAAUCAUCCUGAUUUCACAAACGAGAGCAUCAUCAAAUCUCUCUGAAUCCACAUCGCUAAAUAUUGGCAGUCUGCUACCAUGUAAAUCAGUCAAAAAGACUUACAUGAACAUAAUCUUGGCACCACGUCAAGGCACAUACCUGGAUCUAGGGAAAACUCCAUUGAAGACAACAGGUUUUGUUUAGAAAGUUCUCGGCCACCCUACUCGUGUUCUUCACUGGCCUGAUCCAUGUGACCUCAAUUUAUGACACGUUAGCAUUCACACCGGCACGACCGACUAUUUCCGGAUGUUGGCUUCCCCUGCAGAGAAAAAACAGAAAAAUGAGCCCAACCAAUAUGACAACUUAAUUUGCAAAUUACAAGAAAAAUUAGAAGGCAUGACAGUACACAAGUUUGAUAGCUUUUUUGUGAAAAGAAAGAUACAAAAUUUUAGAUUAGGUGGAGUACUUGCGUAUCAACACCAUUGCUGAUACAGUAGUAUCAUUCCCUCUGGUUCCUUCACUAUCAGAUCCGUCCAUUUUCAUGACUUGCUGAAUUCCAAUACAUUUAGGAGCAGUGGCAGAGGACGGAGGAAAAUCAAGGUGGGGCUGACUCUAAACUCCAGAGCACAAAAGAAAUGGUUUGAUGCAAAGAAAAAACAAAGUAUUUGACACCUUGACCACUACUAUGCACGAUCUUCAGUUGAUAGAAAUUCAGAAACUUAUAUUGCAUCGCUCUAAAUUCAGAAAAAACGAAUUAACAACUAUGGUGACCCCUGCCCCUUUGCAUUUGCUGACCCCUGCCUCUCCCCUUCAUGUCCAACUUGGAUUCAAAAGAUGGAUGGGCCAGGAUUCAAAAGGCAUGUGCACUCACCGUGGGGGCGACCUUGGUGAGGUGCCAGAUCUAGACUCCUCCGUCAGGGGCUUCAUCUUUGGCGGCGACCAUCUUGAGACCCUCCGUCACGGCCGCACGAGCGUGGACCCGGGAGCCGCUUCCUUGACGAUAUGCAAGUGGAUCCGGCGAUGUAGAGGAGGGUGGAGGUGGCUGAGCGGGUGAUAGUGGAAGGCGGGGGGCGGCGGCGGAGUGGGGAGAUUGAGGCGGCGGCGGAGCGGGGAGGGGCGGCGCUGCAUCGCUAGACGACGGAGAUAGGGCGGCCGCAUGGAGAUCGGGUGGAUCGAGAGACGGAUGGUGGCGUAUGUUUUUUUUAUUUUGUACGGGGUGGUGGCAGGUGGGCGAAGGUUAACCGACGAAAAAAACCGGACGAAAGUGGUGGGACGAAAAUUGACCGGCGGAGACUACCAACUGCUCCAUUAGGAGUAGAGAUUUCAAAUAGUUAUUUUUUGGUGCACUUCUAUUUUAGAAAUGAAUCAGUAGCCAAUUAUGCUUGAUGUUUCAAGCAGAACUAGAAUUGGUAAACAACUAUCUGUGAAGCGUAUGUGGAGGCGGGAAUCUGGUUUGGUUUUUUGCUAUGUGCCUAUUUGCUUAAGAAAAUACUUGACUGGAGAGCAGAUUCCAAAUGGAGCUGCAUUUUCAUGCGUUGGGGGCAGAAGUAGAAUAAGUAGUAAAUCUUGAUCUUAUGGAGUGAUGAUUUACAUUCUUUGUGUGAUGAGAUAAUACACGACCUAGGUGUUAUUUAGCUUGCUGCUGUAGAACAACUGACUAUCAUGAUCUGUAGUUUCUGAAUAUUGAGUCCUCGAGUUUUGGGGAAUGGUGCGCUCUAAUUUGGAAGUGGUAUUUCCUAAUGUAUUCACACAGUUAGAUAUCAUAUUAUAUUUUUUUUCUCUUACUUGAAAUUUCUGCCAUGUAAAGCUUGGUUGUCUUUGAUUUGUUGUUGUGUUAGGUAUUGAACAGACUGGCUUGUUUGGCUAACCUUCCUUUCCUUUUAUUUUGCAGGCUCUAGAAUCGCUAAGGUUGCUCCUUCUCUGUUCCUUUGGUCAAGGUUUGUCCUUGUCAUUCUUUUCUAAGCACUGCACUUUUCUACCCUAUUUGUUUACUGCUUAUUGUCAUGUUAAUUCCUCUGUUCAUGAUUUUUCCAGAUGUCGUGUUUGUGUGUUUGUUUUUGUGGUGCUGCUUAUAUGUGUGACUACCGUAUGAUCGUAUAUAUAUGCUGAAAAGUAAAACGAUUUUUCCUUGGCACGAUACAUAAUUUGUAAUGAGAUGGUAGUACAUCAGUGUAUUUACAGGAAAAAAAUUAUAGUCGUAUAUAUAUAAUUUGCAUCUAUAGUGUACAUCAGCUGAAAAGAACAUUCUUCUACUCUUUCUUGAUG
rnacentral:lncRNA from 1 species